UACGAAGGGGGCUAGCGUUGCUCGGAUUGACUGGGCGUAAAGGGCGCGUAGGCGGUUCGUACAGUCAGACGUGAAAUUCCUGGGCUCAACCUGGGGGCUGCGUUUGAUACGUGCGGGCUUGAGUUCGGAAGAGGGUCGUGGAAUUCCCAGUGUAGAGGUGUAAUUCGUAGAUAUUGGGAAGAACACCGGUGGCGAAGGCGGCGACCUGGUCCGAUACUGACGCUGAGGCGCGAAAGCGUGGGGAGCAAACAGG
rnacentral:rRNA from 1 species